AACCCGUGAUGAGAACAGUCUCUUUGAUAUCCCUUGAACCUUUCCCAUGCAGCCUUGAAUGCUUCUGUUGGACCCUGAACGAACGUGGAGAUCUUAGCUCGUAGAU
rfam:Arabis alpina cultivar Pajares Aa.chr7_contig_1720, whole genome shotgun sequence.